GGUUGCAUAAAAAAUUGUAUGCUUAUAUAUUCUUAAAUGCAUUGCUAAACCAGACAUAGAAUAGCAAGAUAUUAAUAUUUGUAACUUUACCAACUAAACUGUGCUGUUAUAACAAAUAUUUUUUUCCCAUAAAUCAAGUAUUCUUACAUUUUGACUGUUAUAUUUACUUUCUUAUAAAUUGCAGUUAAUUAGGACAACCAAUUCAACUGGUGAUAAACUCAUAUAAUAAAAAAUAUUUUCUUAUAGAUCUGAAGCACUUUAGCUUAUACAUAGUACUAUAGAAAUUAGUUUAAAAAAAAUAAUUAUCCCAUGUUUUUAUUGAUAAAAUGAAAAUGAUGCAUUAGUACUAUAAUACAAAAUAAAUUUAAACUAUAAUGAACUUAAAAAUAAGUGCACUAAAUGAAAAUUGUCAUGGAUUUCAAAUCAAUCAGAACUUGGCCUCCCAUAUCACAUCACAAAUUUAGGUUAAGCUAACUAAUUAUGUAUGUCAAGAUCAAUUUUAGAGCACAGGCAAGGUUUUUAUUCAUCUUACAUUUCAUAAUUUCAGAUAUUUAAAGAAAUGAGUCUAAAAAUAGCAAUACCUCUGUUUUUCUCUGUUCCUCUUUUAUACUUUAUAUUUAUUAUAUAGUGAGAGAGAGAGAGAGACAAUCAGAGAGAGAGAGAGAAUUUAUUCUUAAAUAAUAUGAAGCUGUGCUGGUUAAAGCUACUUCAUCACAGAGGGAUAUUGUAAAAGAGACAACAUUAUUUUUUUACAGAAUGCUUAACCAUUUCUAUCAGCUUUGUUUUAUGUCAGAAACUCAAUUAUAGUCAAUCAUAAUUAACACAAAGCUUCCAGUAUAUUUCAAUACUUUCAAUGCACUAAAUCACUACAUGUGUUUGUGAAUAAUUAAAUAUUGC
rnacentral:lncRNA from 1 species